ensembl:lncRNA
CAGAAAAUGAAAUGUGCUCUUUUUUAAGUCAGCAUUUACAGAAGGAAUAACAUCGUCUGAAAACAUGACAGAAACCACUUUUUAAACACUGAGUGAAACACGCUUGUAGGAGAAAUUGAAUGUUUUGUGUCAACAGCUCUGCAGAGGUACAUGCAUGUACGUUCUUUGAGCCUGUCUCAGUAGGAGUCUACCAAUGAGAAGACUACAGCUGUUGAUCAAAGACCAAUGGGAGAUGUUAUUAUAAUCAUUUUUUAAUGCGGGGGGGGAAGAAAACGUAAGCUAUUAAAAAGUUGCUAGAAGAUAGAUUUCUUUUUAAAUGGCUGUUUUCAAAAAUUCAGCUAUAUUGUAGCAGUGUAUUUUAAUUGUUGAAAUGUAAGAGUGGUUUUUUUGAUAAUUAAGUAAAAGUUUAUGGAAAAAAGUCUUGAUUUCUGCUAUAUGUUUUCUGCUGUGCUUUUUUUUUCCUAACAUCAUUCCUGGUAUAGGGGGACAAUACUUUCACUCUGAGUUAAUUAGUCUUUUUAAAUAAGAAAUUAUUUCUGUUUUAUAUUUUAAGGAAAACAACAACCCUGAUGGAAACUAAUGACUGUAUCUUUUCCAUUUCCCAUGAAAGCAAGAAGUAAGCGAUAAAGCUGUUUUUAUGGCUGCUGUCCAGUCAACUUUGGGAGGAAAACUGCAACGUUUUGAAGAAGAAAAAUAAAAGGUGAUAUAGAGAUGAAGUAGCGAGAGGAAGCUGGUAAUAAAGUUCAGGACACAGUGUUGGUUCUUGACCAACAGUGGGGGAUCAGUGCCCGUGAAGAUGUGCAGACAAGGCAUGUUUCAGACUCCCAGAAGCUGUUUGUUUGCCAUACUGUGAGGAAGCAGGUGUGGGCCAGCACCACUGCAUGCUCCUGUUGCACUAUGAGGACAUGGUUUAGGACCAGACCAAGUUGCCCCAA